GACGAACGCUGGCGGCGUGCUUAACACAUGCAAGUCGAACGGAAAGGCCCUGCUUUUGUGGUGUGCUCGAGUGGCGAACGGGUGAGUAACACGUGAGUAACCUGCCCUUGACUUUGGGAUAACUUCAGGAAACUGGGGCUAAUACCGGAUAGGAGCUCCUGCUGCAUGGUGGGGGUUGGAAAGUUUCGGCGGUUGGGGAUGGACUCGCGGCUUAUCAGCUUGCUGGUGGGGUAGUGGCUUACCAAGGCUUUGACGGGUAGCCGGCCUGAGAGGGUGACCGGCCACAUUGGGACUAAGAUACGGACCAGACUGCUACGGGAGGCAGCAGUGGGGAGUAUUGCACAAUGGGCGGAAGCCUGAUGCAGCGACGCCGCGUGCGGGAUGACGGCCUUCGGGUUAUGAACCGCUUUCGCCUGUGACGAAGCGUGAGUGACGGUAAUGGAUAAAGAAGCACCGGCUAACUACGUG
rnacentral:rRNA from 1 species